rnacentral:rRNA from 1 species
AUUGUAGUCUAUGCUUGUCUCAAAGAUUAAGCCAUGCAUGUAUAAGUGUAAGCGUAUUUACAGUAAAACUGCGAACGGCUCAUUAAAUCAGUUAUAAUCUACUCGGCGUUUUUUUUUACUUGGAUAACUCUGGAAAAUCUAGAGCUAAUACAUGCAUUGAGUCCCAACUUUUCGGAAGGGAUGCACUAUUAGGACCUAAACAAACCGGGGUUUCCUCGUAAGAUGAAUCUUAAUAGUAUGACAUGAUCGUUUUGGCUUUUGCCUACGACACACCGACCGAGUAUCUGCCCUAUCAGCUAGAUGGUAGUGUAUUGGACUACCAUGGCAUUAACGGGUAACGGGGAAUUAGGGUUCGAUUCCGGAGAGGCCGCAUGAGAAACGGCGACCACUUCUAAGGAAGGCAGCAGGCGCGCAAAUUACCCAAUCCUAACACAGGGAGGUAGUGACAAUAUAUAACGACGUGGGUCCCAUUAGGAACUCGCGAUCGUAAUGAGAACAAUUUAAAAUCCUUAACGAGGAACAAUUGGAGGGCAAGUCUGGUGCCAGCAGCCAAUC